CGGAGGUGCAAGCGUUAUCCGGAUUUACUGGGUUUAAAGGGUGCGUAGGUGGUAAGUAAGUCAGUGGUGAAAUCUUCGAGCUUAACUCGGAAACUGCCAUUGAUACUAUUUAUCUUGAAUACUUUGGAGGUAAGCGGAAUAUGUCAUGUAGCGGUGAAAUGCUUAGAUAUGACAUAGAACACCAAUUGCGAAGGCAGCUUACUACACAGUCAUUGACACUGAGGCACGAAAGCGUGGGAUCAAACAGGAUU
rnacentral:rRNA from 1 species